CACGUAGGGUGCGAGCGUUGUCCGGAAUCAUUGGGCGUAAAGCGCGCGUAGGCGGCCCGGUAAGUCCGCUCUGAAAGUCCAGGGCUCAACCCUGGAAAGCGGGUGGAUACUGCCGGGCUAGAAUCCGGAAGAGGCGAGUGGAAUUCCAGGUGUAGCGGUGAAAUGCGCAGAUAUCGGGAGGAACACCAGUAGCGAAGGCGGUUCUCUGGGCCGGUACUGACGCUGAGGAGCGAAAGCGUGGGGAGCAAACAGG
rnacentral:rRNA from 1 species